AAGGGCAAAGUGAAAGAGCUGAGCGGUUAAAUCAUACACAAUUAGUUGAUAUUAAGGCGCAGGAGCGCUGUAAAUUCUGGGCAAGAACAAGAGCUUAUUUCACUUAAAUUGGACAAGAGUUCUCCAAUCGUAUGCUGGAAACAUCAUAAUAGUAUUUGACCAACAUAACAUACUUCCAAACUGAUAGUUGACAGUUCGGAGUAUAGCUGAGCACAUAAUCUCGGAAGCAAAUAUUACCACUACACCGACUUAUGGAUAUAUUUAA
rnacentral:misc_RNA from 1 species